AUGGCACUUGCCUCUUUUGGAGAAGAAACAGAUGAAUCUGCUGCGGCGCCAUCUGAACUUCCUCCCGGCCAUGCUCAGAGCCGCUCUCUGGGUGUGCCCCCAAAUCAUCUGGGAAGUUUGAACAGAAAAAUCUCCAGGCCCAACACACCAAAGUCAGUGUUUCAGAAUCUCGGGGUUGGGGGUGGUGGAGGAUUCUUCUACAUGACCCAGCACAGCUUUGUGACCCUGAUCUUAGAACGAGGCCUGAGGGGCCCUGGCAGCCUGGCCCUGCAUGUGGCUCUAUUGAGAAACAAAACAGAAAUUCAGCCCCUACCCUCUGUAUGUUUCUGUGGUUCCAUGAAGACAGCUUCCAGUAGGACCUGGAGAAAGCAGCUAUGGUUUCCCCAUCUCCAGGGAGGACCCUCCUCACCUUGGGCCACAGGACAAUGGGAAGCAAGGCAAUUUCCAGGUCAACCAGGAAGCCAACUUGGAGAAAUCUGGCUCUUAUCUCUACUUUUAUAUAGCAGGUUUCUUUACAGUUUGCUAUGGACUGGCAGUGCAUUAUUGAAGAGUGGCGAGGUGAUAAGCCACCAGAAGUCUGUAAGGAGGCAGCAGAUGGACAGGGAAGGCCCUUGACUAGGGGGCCAGGAGACUGGGUUCCAGACCCAGGAAGUUUGGGCAAGACACAUCACCUUCUGGGGCUCAAUUUCCUCCUUGGAAAAUAAGGAGCAUGGAUAAGGUGACCUCUAAAUUCUCUUUUUAUAUUGGGAAGCUAUCUUAGAAUCUUCUAGAUCCUUCUAGAAAUCAGGUUUUUCUAAUCAGUCUAUUUUGCUGAUUCUGACAUGUAUGUGUUUUGUUCUGUUUUUAACAUUUCUCAGACCAUGAAUCAUCUCCACCAGAGAGACAUAUUUUUAAAAAUUUAAAUUCAGGGAUCCCUGGGUGGCGCAGCGGUUUGGCGCCUGCCUUUGGCCUAGUGCGUGAUCCUGGAGACCCCGGAUCGAAUCCCACGUCAGGCUCCCGGUGCAUGGAGCCUGCUUCUCCCUCUGCCUGUCUCUGCCUCUCUUUCUCUCUGUGUGACUAUCAUAAAUGAAUAAAAAAAAUAAAUUAAAAAAAUUUUAAAUUCA
rnacentral:lncRNA from 1 species